GACGAACGCUGGCGGCGUGCCUAAUACAUGCAAGUCGAACGCAGUGGGGACGGGUGAGUAACACGUGGGUAACCUCCCAUCAGAGGGGAUAACACUUGGAAACAGGUGCUAAACCGAUACAGAUGGAUGGCACCGCGGUGCAUUAGCUAGUUGGGGAGGUAACGGCUCACCAAGGCCACGAGGCAUAGGCGACCUGUGAUGGUGAUCGUCCCAACUGGGCCUGGGACCCGGCCCAGCCUCCUCCGGUAGGCAGCCGUAGGGAAUCUUCGGACAUGGACGAAAGUCUGACCGAGCAACGCCGCGUGAGUGAAGGAGGGUUUCGGAUCGUAAAACUCUGUUGUUAGAGGAGCGGUAUCUAACCAGAUAGCCACGGCUAACUACGGGCCAGCAGCCGCGGUAAUAC
rnacentral:rRNA from 1 species